GUCUGUGGCCAUAUGAACGUGUCUAACCUUGUCUGAUCUUGGAAGCUAAGCAGGGUCUGGCCUGCUUAGUACUUGGAUGGGAGACCAACUAACAGGUGCUGUAGUCU
ensembl:rRNA 5S_rRNA 5S ribosomal RNA